rnacentral:rRNA from 1 species
GACGUAGGGCGCGAGCGUUGUCCGGAUUUAUUGGGCGUAAAGAGCUCGUAGGCGGCUCGUUGCGUCGGCUGUGAAAACCCGCAGCUCAACUGUGGGCUUGCAGCUGAUACGGGCGGGCUGGAGUUCGGUAGGGGAGACUGGAAUUCCUGGUGGUAGCGGUGAAAUGCGCAGAUAUCAGGAGGAACACCGGUGGCGAAGGCGGGUCUCUGGGCCGAUACUGACGCUGAGGAGCGAAAGCGUGGGGAGCGAACAGG